rnacentral:rRNA from 1 species
GAUUGAAUGGGGGAACCCUGAUCCAGCGACNCCGCGUGGAGGACGAAGGUCUUCGGAUUGCNACUCCUUUUGUUUGGGAAUAAGAAACCCGUAGAAAUACGGGGAGUGAAGGUACCNGAUGAAUAAGCCACGGCUAACUUCGUGCCAGCAGCCGCGGUAAAACGAAGGUGGCAAGCGUUACUCGGAAUGACUAGGCGUAAAGGGCAGGUAGGUGGUUUAGCAAGUCUGCUGUGAAAGCUCCUGGCUUAACUGGGAGAGGUCAGCAGAUACUGCUAGGCUUGAGUGUGGGAGAGGGUACUGGAAUUCCCGGUGUAGCGGUGAAAUGCGCAGAGAUCGGGAGGAACACCAAUGGCGAAAGCAAGUACCUGGACCAUUACUGACGCUCAACUGCGAAAGCUAGGGGAGCAAACAGGAUUAGAUACCCUGGUAGUCCUAGCUGUAAACGAUGCACAUUAGACGGAGGUGGUAUCGACCCCUUCUCUGUCGACGCUAACGCAUUAAAUGUGCCGCCUGGGGAGUACGGCCGCAAGGUUGAAACUCAAAGAAAUUGACGA